rnacentral:rRNA from 1 species
GUGCAGCAGGCGAGAAACCUCCGCAAUACACGAAAGUGUGACGGGGCCAUCCCGAGUGCCGUCCGCUGAGGACGGCUUUUCCCCAGUGUACACAGCUGGGGGAAUAAGGAGAGGGCAAGCCUGGUGUCAGCCGCCGCGGUAAUACCAGCUCUCCGAGUGGUGGGGACGCUUAUUGGGCCUAAAGCAUCCGUAGCCGGCUGGGCAAGUCCUCCGUUAAAUCCAACGAUUCAAUCGUUGGGCUGCGGGGGAUACUGUCCAGCUUGGGGGCGGGAGAGGCCGACGGUAUUCCCGGGGUAGGGGUGAAAUCCUAUAAUCCCGGGAGGACCACCAGUGGCGAAGGCUGUCGGCUAGAACGCGCCCGACGGUGAGGGAUGAAAGCUGGGGGGAGCGAACCGGAUUAGAUA